AAUCGAAACGAAGGGAUAUAAUAUUAGUAUUGUAAAGAUAGUGAAACCGUGACAUAUUGUGAUUAGAUAACCUAUUUAUUAUUUUUUGUGAAAAAUAUAAUAAUGUUUGAAUUUGAUUGUGCAUCAGUUACCUUAUUUAACCCGAUUUUCUAAACCAGAGAUUUUUUGAAUGCGAUGCGGUUCCAUGGAAGAGAACAAGUUAAAGUAUGGCUAUUAUCAAUUUUGAUGGUUCACAGCGCAGUUGCCGGGAACCCAGAUGCAAAAAGACUGUAUGACGAUUUACUAAGUAACUACAAUAAACUUGUUCGACCUGUGGUAAAUACGACAGAUGUUCUUAAAGUAUGCAUAAAGUUAAAGUUGUCACAACUCAUAGACGUGGUAGGAGAGUACUCGGACCGUCAAGCACACAUCUUGCCUGACACAUAACCCGCCGACAUUUCUUGAAUAUAUGUAUUUUACUAUGUUUUAAUGUGAUUUAUUGUGCUAUUUUAAAAGAAAACUAAAUAAAAGGAUAAGAUACAAAGAAGUUUCAGUUUUGUAGUUUUUACGAAGUCACUAGAAUCACGGGUUUCGUUUCUUUUAAAACCCCUCCGCGUAGGUAUAAACUUCAGGGACUCAUCUACCUAAGCUCUCCACUUUCUAAAAUGUAAGAUAAAGCUUUUCAUUUAGGCUUAAGAAAUAAUUGAAAAA